UCAAACGUGUCACUUGUAGCAAUUCAUUUCCAAAAGCAGUUUACAAAAACAACACCAAAAAGUACAUAUUUUUCGUUAACAAGUAAAAAAAGAAAAGAAAUUGUAUUAAUAAACACUUUCACCGCCAAUACUUGAAAUUCAUAGCCAGGUGCAACUGUGGCGUGGCCAGUUCGGGCGAAAAUUGUUUACAAAUAGUUUAACAAAAAACCAAAACAAAAACAAAACAAAAAUAAAGAUGGUAAGUAUGCAUGUGCGGGAUGUUUGCAAGAAGACCUUUUGGCGUCUCUCGCCAUUUAUAUGCCAAAAAGCCAGCGGCCAUAAAUUCAAGCUUGGGGCGUGCUCCAUGUCCAUGCCAUUGACAUUGCCAUUGCAUUGCUGAUACGAACACCAUACCCACACCCAAGGAGAGGCUUAGCUGGUCGUACGUGCUGCACUUUGAAUGCUGAAACCAGGUCGCAGUCAAAGAAGAGACUUUCAUUAGAUGGCCUUUUUGGAGCGACAUUGGAUAUCUCUCUGUAUGGACAAGGGGGCGUACAAUGAAUCAGAGAAAGAAAAAGCUUGGUCUACAACAAACGACGAUAAGUAAGGAAGUUCCACUGACCAGGUAAGAUGAAAAACUUCAUACAGAUGCAGCCCGGCCUCUACGCCUCAGUGCCUCAAGUGAAAUUUUGUGUUCUGUACCUGUGGCGUCUCUGAUCUGCCUGCCUGCCAGUCUGUCGAUGUGGAUGUGGAUGUGCCUGUGAUUUUGUGUGUCGCACAUGCAAUUGAUAUCGCUGGCCUCGUUCGCCUUAGUUGCUUGAUUCAUCGUCGGAGAGUUUGCUGUCCACUGUCCGCUCAUUAGCAAUUGGAGCACAAAUAAUUAAUAAGCGAACAGGAUCGACAGCUUUCUAUGGUCAGCGUUUAGAAAUCGGAAACUGUGGCUAAAGAGCGCAAAAAGAAAGUAAGCCUAGCUAACUAGCUAACUGGCUAACUAAAAGGCAAUUAAUAACAGCAGCCAACAACAGUCAACAGCAACAAGUUUGCCACUUGGACAUGGACGCUGUCAAUGCACCGCUAGGAGAUGCCUGGGAAUCUGAAUUGAAAACCAACUCUGCCUGACCUCGAUGUAUGUGACGCGAGAAUUUAACAGUGAAAACAGGAUUUAAGUGCGGCAUCUACUGGCAAAUACAUUACUAACCCAAAUUGGCAAUAUGCUAGCAAACCAGAUCGGCAGCUGGCUAUAAUUUAUGUGGGACCACAAAAUGCUGUGUGCUACUCUACGUUUCUAUGUGUAUCACGUUGCAUAUCCUGGAUGGAGUCCUUGGGGACCUUGAAUUGCAAUGUGUGUGUGCCAAAGAAGCGAGCAACACGCUCCACCAGCAAUGAAUCGACCUCAGAUUCACGGGCUUCCACCUCUUCGGGCAGCUGGACAUCAUUGAGCGAUCGGCCUACUGGAAUUUCAUCGGUUUUCACCAAGGCAAUGCCCUCUGUCAGCCUCACAUCUCCGUUUUCCGUAUCAAAGUAAUGCAGGGCACGUUCCUGUUUAAAUAUUAUCAUGUGACAUCAGGAAUGAAAGAGAGAGAGAUGGGGGCAUUUACCUUCAUGCACAACACCAUCGAUCGGUCGCCGCAAUCCUUGACCAUUUUGAGGGCACUCGUCAAUAGACUGUCUGCCUCGGAGGCAGCUGCCGCCGUUGAGGCAAUCAGCGCGAAAAGACACACAAAUUUAAACAUGAUUGUAAUUUUUUGGAUAUUUGUUUUUGCACAAACACUAAUGACACAACGGAGAAAUGCGAGUGGGGUAUAUUAUCCUUUCAGAUGUUUGCACUAGCUGAGAGUGCUUUUGGCUUGAUUUGUUUCACUUGAUUGAGUGGCACUGCGCUCGAUUGGCUUGUUCGAUCUGUCGGUCAGAAGGCAACCGGUAAACUGUGAAUAGAAGACUCCCGCGGAUCGAGUUUUAUUCCCCGCCAGCAGAGCAACGACAGCAGCAGCAGUGGCAGCAGCAGCGACGACGCAAACAGAAACAGAAACGUUGGACAAAAUAAAAAUAAAAGAAAAAGACAUCGGCAUUGACGAUGCGACACGA